GUGAAAGUGUAAUGGUGGUGAGAGUAUUCAGAGACUAUUAGUCAAUAAAUGUUCCCAAAGAAUCAAGUAAACUGUAUGUGCAUUACAUCUCCUCCAAAGGCACUUGCUGUGAAGAGAAAGAGAAAGCUGAUCCGGGAGUGUUGGGAUGGUCUCCGCGGACUGCGGGGGAGACUUAGGAAGAGGAGGGCGAGCGUCAGCACUUGAACUCUGAGCUGAGGGAUUGAGUGAGCUACAGUUCAGACAAACCGAUGACCUUCAGGCCUUGUGUUUGCAGAAGAGGGAGCUGCUCUAUUUACUGCUCCUUGUGUGGCCUUAAUAAACAGCCUGCAGUGGGGACUUGUGGGCUCGAAAUUCAGCUCAUGAGCUUUUGUCAUUUCUUUAAAAAUAA
ensembl:lncRNA